GCUACGGCCAUAUCAGCCUGGGUACGCCCGAUCUCGUCUGAUCUCGGAAGCUAAGCAGGGUCGGGCAUGGUUAGUACUUGGAUGGGAGACCGCCUGGGAAUACCAGGUGCUGUAAGCA
rnacentral:rRNA from 1 species